AGAGUGAACGCUGGCGGCAGGCCUAACACAUGCAAGUCGAACGGCAGCGGGUCAGUAGCAAUACUGAUGCCGGCGAGUGGCGGACGGGUGAGGAAUACAUCGGAAUCUACCUUGUCGUGGGGGAUAACGUAGGGAAACUUACGCUAAUACCGCAUACGAACUACGGUUGAAAGCGGCGGACCGCAAGGCGUCGCGCGAUUGGAUGAGCCGAUGUCCGAUUAGCUAGUUGCGGGGUAAAGGCCCACCAAGGCGACGAUCGGUAGCUGGUCUGAGAGGAUGAUCAGCCACACUGGAACUGAGACACGGUCCAGACUCCUACGGGAGGCAGCAGUGGGGAAUAUUGGACAAUGGGCGCAAGCCUGAUCCAGCCAUGCCGCGUGUGUGAAGAAGGCCUUCGGUGUAAGCACUUUGUUGGGAAGAAAGACACCGGUUAAUACCCGGGUUACUGACGGUACCCAAAGAAUAAGCGACGCUAACUUCGUGCAGGCAGCCG
rnacentral:rRNA from 1 species